UACGUAGGUGGCAAGCGUUGUCCGGAUUUACUGGGCGUAAAGAGCGCGCAGGCGGUCGUUCAAGUCGCGUGUGAAAGCCCCCGGCUUAACUGGGGAGGGUCACGCGAUACUGAUCGACUCGAAGGCAGGAGAGGGAAGUGGAAUUCCCGGUGUAGUGGUGAAAUGCGUAGAUAUCGGGAGGAACACCAGUGGCGAAGGCGACUUCCUGGCCUGUUCUUGACGCUGAGGCGCGAAAGCUAGGGAGCAAACGGG
rnacentral:rRNA from 1 species